AUUGAACGCUGGCGGCAGGCCUAACACAUGCAAGUCGAACGAGUAGCGGACGGGUGAGGAAUGUCUGGUGAACAGCCCGAUGGAGGGGGAUAACUACUGGAAGCGGUAGCUGAUAACGCCUACCAUCAGAAGUUGCCAGCUGGGAUUAGCUAGUAGGUGGGGUAACGGCUCACCUAGGCGACGAUCCCUAGCUGGUCUGAGAGGAUGACCAGCCACACUGGAACUGAGACACGGUCCAGACUCCUACGGGAGGCAGCAGUGGGGAAUAUUGCACAAUGGGCGCAAGCCUGAUGCAGCCAUGCCGCGUGUAUGAAGAAGGCCUUCGGGUUGUAAAGUACUUUCAGCGAGGAGGCGUUACUCGCAGAAGAAGCACCGGCUAACUCCGUGCCAGCAGCCGCGGUAAUUC
rnacentral:rRNA from 1 species